UGAAGUCUAUAACACUUCCCCAAACAGAGAAGCAUCAGUUGUUUGCUAAGCAACAAGAAGGGGCAAGGAAAGAUGUGGAGCAUGCUUUUGGGGUAAUGCAGUCCCGUUUUUCCAUUGUUCGUCGGCCUGCACGUCUAUGGAAGAGAAAGAGUAUUGGAAGGAUCAUGAAAGCUUGCAUCAUUCUCCACAAUAUGAUAGUGGAAGAUGAAAGAGAGGAUGCUAAUAUUCAUAUUGACUUGAAUGAGAAUCCGGGGGCAUCCUUUGCUCUACCUCCUGAAGUGAACACUAGUCGUAAUCCAUGCUUUUCUGAUGUCAUGCGUAGAAAAGUUGCUAUUCGAGAUCGUCCACAGCAUACCCAACUUAAAAAUGAUCUCAUUGAGCACAUUUCGCAUAAGUUCGGAAAUAGGCAACAUAACUAGCCAUGGAAUCAAGACUGGGCAUGGUGUACUGAAUGUUGCAGAUGCUAGUUGCAGUGUUGCCACUUCGAUGCAAAUGGGAUGGCUGCUCCAUUGUACCGAAGUUCACCUGUCAACUUUGGCUUUAUGCUUCUAUCACCAUCUUCUAAUCAAGUGGAUUCCGUACCAGUGAACUUAUUUAGUACUAUUUUUAGUUAAUGGCCUGUGAGCCAACGAAUUAUCCUAUUUAGUAUUGCUUUUAGUUAAUGGUAUGUGUGCGACCGAACUUAUUUGGAUUGUUGUUUGGAAUUUGUCAUCUCAGAUUAUGUUGUUUGGUAUAAUGCUAUGGAUAAGCAUAUUUGUUUUCUAGUUGAA